rnacentral:rRNA from 1 species
AUGUCUUCCCUCGCUCUUUUCCACGGCCCAUUCUCCUACCACCGCGCUCCUCCCUUGUCGCCGACCGGCACCUCUCCACGGCCGACGCGACCCGCAGCGCAUUCUUCUCCUUCCCACCCCAAUUCGCGCCCCCUCCCUGAAGCCGAUGAGCUCCGGUCCCACGCAGCGGCGCUGCAGGACUGCGCCGUCCGCCGAGCGCUCCGCUGCGGACAGGAGCUCCACGCGCGGCUGCUCCGCUGCGCGCGGCAGCCGGACACGUUUCUCCUCGACUCGCUCCUCAACAUGUACUGCAAGUGUGGCCGCCUGGCGGACGCACGAAGGGUGUUCGACGGAAUGCCACACAGAGACGUCGUCGCCUGGACCGCCCUCUUAUCCGCCUACGCCGCCGCGGGAGAUGCCGAGGAGGCUCUGGACCUGUUUUGUCAGAUGAACCAACAAGGUCUUGCGCCUAACGGGUUCACGCUCGCUUCGGUGCUCAAGGCCUGCUCGGUGAUGAGCUCACACUCCGAGUUUACGCGUCAGGUGCAUGGUCAGGUGGUUAAGUUGCAAGGUCUGGAUGAUCCCUACGUUGGCUCGUCCCUUGUUCAAGCUUACGCGAUCCAUGGGGAGGUGGACGCUGCUGAGACCGUGUUGCUAGGCUUGCCCGAACGAAGCGACAUGUCAUGGAAUGCUCUGCUCACUGAGUAUGCUCGGCAGGGCGACUACAGAAAGGCCAUGCAUGUUUUCCAUAAGUUGUCCGAAUUUGGUGAUGAGAUAAGCAAGUAUACUGUGCCUACUCUUCUUAAGUGUUGUGUGGAACUCGGUCUUGCAAAGUCUGGUCAGGCUCUUCAUGCAUUGGUGGUCAAGAGAGGGCUGGAAACCGAUAACGUGCUGAAGAAUUGCCUUGUUGAGAUGUACUCGAGAUGUCUAUCUGCUGAAGAGGCCUAUCAAGUCUUUAUCAGGAUAGAUGAACCUGAUGUGGUGCAUUGCAGUGCCAUGAUCUCUUCUUUCGGUCGACAUGGUAUGGCCUGGGAAGCAUUUGAUCUUUUCGUAAAGAUGUCAGACAUGGGAGUCAAACCAAACCAAUAUACAUUCGUGGGCAUUGCUGGUGUUGCAUCAAAGACUGGUGAUGCAAACCUUUGUCGCUGUGCUCAUGCGUAUGUUGUGAAAAGCGGGCUGGCUAUGCCAAAAUUAGUGGCUGAUUCCAUUCUAAAUAUGUAUGUGAAAGUUGGUGCUGCUCAAGAUGCAACAGUUGCUUUUCAUCUUAUGCAUGAGCCUGACACAUUUUCAUGGAACACAUUUCUCUCCGGAUUUUAUAGUGGAAGCAACUGUGAGCAGGGUUUGAGGAUUUUCAAGCAGAUGAAGUGCGAAGGCUUUUCAGCCAACAAAUACACUUAUGUUGGUGUUUUGAGAUGCUGCACUAGCUUGAUGAACCUGAUGUAUGACACUCAGGUUCAUGCAUGUGUUCUGAAAAGUGGGUUGCAAAGCGAUAAUGAUGUUUCAAGAAUGCUACUUGACAUGUAUGCGCAAUCUGGCUGCUUUACAAGUGCGUGCCUGGUAUUUGAUCGACUGGAAGAAAGAGAUGCUUUCUCGUGGACAGUGAUUAUGUCAGGAUAUGCUAAAACGGAUGAAGCUGAGAAGGUGAUGGAAUGUUUCCGUUCAAUGUUGCAAGAAAACAAAAGGCCUAAUGAUGCUACACUAGCAGUUUCAUUGAGUGUUUCCUCUGAUAUGGCAUCCUUAGGCAGUGGGCUCCAACUUCAUUCAUGGGCCAUCAAGUCUGGCUGGAACAGCUCAGUUGUUUCUGGUGCUCUAGUUGACAUGUAUGUGAAGUGCGGGAACAUAACGGAUGCUGAGAUGCUAUUCUAUGAGUCAGAAACAUGUGAUCAAGUUGCAUGGAAUACACUCAUCUGUGGUUAUUCUCAACAUGGUCAUGGGUACAAGGCACUGGACACGUUCAGACGGAUGGUAGAUGAUGGGAAAAGGCCUGAUGAUAUCACAUUUGUAGGUGUUCUCUCAGCGUGUAGCCAUGCAGGAUUACUUGACGAGGGAAGGAAGUACUUUCAAUUGCUGAGUAGUGUCUAUGGAAUCACUCCUACGAUGGAGCACUAUGCUUGCAUGAUUGAUAUUCUGUCCAAGGCUGGAAGACUAGCCGAGGCUGAAUCUCUUAUCAAUCAGAUGCCAUUGAUCCCGGAUUCAUCCAUAUGGAGGACGAUUUUGGGAGCUUGCAGGAUACAUGGAAAUAUCGAGAUUGCUGAGAGAGCAGCAGAAAGAUUGUUAGAGUUAGAUCCACAGGAUGUUUCUUCUUCUAUAUUGUUAUCAAACAUUUAUGCAGAUUUAGGAAGGUGGAGUGAUGUUACAAGACUUAGGAAUAUGCUACUAGAUCAUGGAGUAAAAAAAGAACCAGGGUGUAGCUGGAUUGAAGUCAAUGGCCAGAUUCAUGUAUUCCUGUCGCAAGAUGGAUGUCCAAAAUAUUAA